rnacentral:lncRNA from 1 species
GUCAAAUGACGAAAUCCCAUCAGAAGUCCAAGAUUUACUGCCUCAGGUCCUCCCUCCCUCCCUCCCUCCCUCUCUUUCUGUGGGAUGUGUUAGUGAGUGGUUUUAAGGAUUAAAUUGGUUGUUAUUAAUAGUCCACCAAUCAUGAAAGUUUUCAGAAGCACCAACAAUAAUUCAGCAUGUAAAUGAUUGUUUUCUUUCCUCGGUUAAGUGAUGUGCUCAUGUCUUCUUCUUUUUUAUAUAUAAAAAAAAAAGUUUUUUGAGAAGGGAAUUAACAUUUAUUUACCAUUACGAAGGUAACAUAAAUCAAACCAAAACCACCAAGAUUAUGAAGGUAAAAUGAAUGAAACCAGCAUCAUGUUGUAGUUGUCAACUGUGAAGCGAUAGAAUCUUGUUUCUAUCUCUUGUCUUCUCACCACCCAACUAGUAUCAUUCCACUCAGAAAGCCCUGUGUUAUCUCACUCACACAAUUCUUUACUUAACGUACACGACCCUCUCUCUAUCUCUCUCUCUCUGUUGUUUUCAUGGAAUCUAAACCUUAAUUACACAAUAUUCAUAAGGGAGUUUUAUUUCUUCGCAGGAUGCUGUGAUUUCGACUGAUGGAGAGAUGCUAAUUGAUGCGGGAGAAGGGUAUAUUGAAGGGAGGAUGGACUUAGAAAGCACAGACUACCCGGGAACUGGAGCAAACAACCACCAUGAUCCGAAAACCCCAGGGAAAGCUUAGAGUGACAAAUUUUAAGAUUUUAUGUUUGUGCAUGAAGAUCGAGAAGAAAAGGUGAGGUGUGGGUGUCGUUGUUGGUGGUUAGCUUGUUUUAUGAAGGAUAUUUGUUUGUCCAGAAUAAACCCUUAAUCCAUUGCUAUGAAGGGAUCUUUAUUUGUGUAUAAUCUAUCUUUAAUUCGAAGUUGACGUGCGGUUUCGUUUUCUACAAGGGAAUGUUCUCUGUAUAAAAUAUGGUUCAUUAACUCUCUUGCUCUUUGUAAUUUAUUUGUAUUUCCU